rnacentral:rRNA from 1 species
GACAGAGGGUGCAAACGUUGUUCGGAAUUACUGGGCGUAAAGCGCGUGUAGGCGGCUAAGUAAGUCGGGCGUGAAAUCCCACGGCUCAACCGUGGAAGUGCACUCGAAACUGCAUAGCUAGAGUCCUGGAGAGGAAGGUGGAAUUCCUGGUGUAGCGGUGAAAUGCGCAGAUAUCAGGAAGAACACCCGUGGCUAAGGCGGCUCUCUGGGACGGUACUGACGCUGAGACGCGAAAGCGUGGGGAGCGAACAGG